GGAUUAGAUACCCUGGUAGUCCACGCCGUAAACGAUGAGAACUAGCCGUGGGUCCCGUACGGGAUUGGUGGCGCAGCUAACGCGAUAAGUUCUCCGCCUGGGGAGUACGGCCGCAAGGUUAAAACUCAAAUGAAUUGACGGGGGCCCGCACAAGCGGUGGAGCAUGUGGUUUAAUUCGAAGCAACGCGAAGAACCUUACCUACUCUUGACAUCCUCAGAACUUGGCAGAGAUGCCUUGGUGCCUUCGGGAACUGAGUGACAGGUGCUGCAUGGCUGUCGUCAGCUCGUGCCG
rnacentral:rRNA from 1 species